rnacentral:lncRNA from 1 species
UGGCAAAGCAAUUUGCUGUUCUUUUUUUCUUUUGAAUUUAAAUUUUUAGUUUUACAACUAUAAGGAAAAUUCCAACUUCUUGUUCUUAGUUCAUGAUGCUAACCCAUGUGUACAAUUCGUAGUACUUGUAGCUGAGGCAAUAAACAAUAUAUAGUGGCCACUUGAUAAAAUUGCAGAAUGCUAACAAUUGUCAGCAAUGUUGUCUACAAUUUGAAACAAUGAUAGACUCUUCAUGAAAUAUUUAAGAGCUCCUUUAUUGGCCUUUUAUGCUCCGUGACAGCUUGUCAGGCAGCAGCAUCUUCAUUUGCUUCCAUCCUGUUACUGCUAUUUGUUUUGUUUUUUAUAAGUUAAUUGUUUUUAGAUGAGAAACAUCUGCUAUAUACAUGUAAAUAUACAAUUAUCAAAGUCAGGCAGGAAAAGGGCAAUUUGUUCAAACAUAAGCUAGUUUUUUAAAUAUGGUGGCAAGUCGGUAAAAUUUUCUUGAUUUGCAGUGUGUGGCAUGACACAGCUCUCCCAUUUAAGGAAGUUCUUGAACAGUUUGAAGCGUGGUUGACUGAGCAUCACUUGUGGGGAAGGGAGCUGCGAGGCCAUCUUAAUCAAGCAGCAUUUGUGACUUGGUGAGAAAAAAUGUAAGGAUGUUAAUUGCCAAUGCAUUUAACAUCUCUUUAUAAUUUCCUGCUUUUUGCUUCAGGCCGUUAGUUCUUCUUAUUUUCUGUUUAAACGUUGAAUUCUGCUUCAAUAACAAGGCACCAAGAUCAUGCCACCCAUGUACAAAUGGAAGAUUGAACUAGAUAAGAGUCAAAAUUUCCCUUUUUCUUUUGAAUGAACGUAAAAAUUUCUUAAUUUUCUCGAAAACCGCAGAUUUUGAGUUUGAAACUAUUUGUCUCUAUUCAGAUGGAGAAAGGAAGAAUAUCUUCUUUCUCUCUCUUUCCAGAUAAUCCAAAUUAUGGAGAAGGAAUUGGAGAAUCUUGGGUCCUCAUUAGCCUUUACUCCUACCCCAAGCCCAAAUUUCAGCCUUCCUAAAAGAAACCACCAUUAGCCAGCAAGUUUUUAUAACAGAGAGAGCAGAAUUCCAAAGGCCACAGGAGCAUUUAGAGUCAAGAGAUUUCAGGAUCGAUUUGGUCUAAUCCUAUUGAACGGACGUAAAAGUUAUAGUUCAAGCACAUUCCUUUGAAUCACAGACAGAUAUUGUAAGGAUUCAAUGUCUUUAUAAUCUUAAAUCUUGGACUGCUAAGAAGCAUCCGACUAACUCCGCUAAAACUAAGAAAAAGACUUAUUUGGUGAAGUUUGAAGCACAAUGUUAGAAGUGGCACAACGUUCACUAGUAACAUAGGAAGUAGAUGUUUUCCUCCUCGAGACCUGGAAAACAUAUUUCAGCCUUUUUCUUUCUACAAGUAAUUAGAUUGUCACAACUAACAACUCUAAUCGUGGCCAAGAUCUAAACCGGUGCUUGGAUAACCCUACUGCUAAAUACCUGUAGCAAGUCUAUGUAAUCUGGUAUCAUCAUCGUGCACCCUGUUAUCAAGAAUUAUUUGGAUAAAUCCAGCUGACAUGCACUUACAUAAAAAUAUAGCUUAAAUGACCUAUAAUAAUUUUAACAGGGUAAAAACAGGUAUUAGAUGAGCAGCAUCUCCAGACCAAAAUGAAGACUUAGUGAGGACUCUCACUAUCCAAAGUUAUGCUAUUACCUGGAUGACAGAAAUUGGAGUAGUAAUUAACAGAAUGCAUUUAACCACUUAUAUGCAAUCCAAACACAAUAGAAGCAUUUGGGAAAGGGGAAGUACAUUGACACCUCUUUGUUUAGGGAAACUAUACUGAAGUGGUCCCAAUUCGUCCUGAUUUUUGAGGGGUGAGCUUGUUUGUUAUCCAAUAUCAGUUGUUAAUAUCUUUCCUAUCUUUUUUUAAAAGGAAUUUAAACUAUUAUUGUUCAAGCUUUUAUGACCAAGCUUUCCUUGAGAUGUUGCAAGAAGAAGGUGAAGAUGAACUUUCUGCAAUUAUAUCUUCUGAGAACCAAGACACCACAAAUUAAUAAUUUUGACAGCAUUGGAAUAGAUUGUUUAAAAUUUUUUAUUUUUAUAUAAAGAACUCCAACAGCUGCAUUAACUUUUGCUGUCAACAAUAAUUUAAGCAUCUUGGUGGAAUGAUUCUCCGAUAUUGACUGACACAUCCUUGUUUCUAAUCUUAUUAGUGGAAAUUGGGAUUUGAAGACAAAGGUUCCUGAGCAAUGCAAAGUGUCAAAUAUCGACCUUCCUCCAUAUUUCAUGGAGUGGAUUAAUCUGAAAGAUGUUUAUCUCAAUUUUUAUGGGCGUGAGGUGAGUCUGUUUAAGAUUUAAUUUUCCUUCGAAGUGUUGUCUGUGUCUCUUUCUUUGUGGUGUUGUAUCAUGAAACUCUGGGAAUGGUGUUUCAAGAAAAUUCAAACACUCAUUACUUGAUGUCGCGACAAUUCAGUUUGUAUAGGGCACUCACUGUCAGUUCAGUGCUUAACUGAAAUGCACUCUACUUUUAUUUUCGUCAUCUAUUGGCAUACCGGUAUGCACUCUUCUUUUAGUUUUGUUAACUACUGGCAUUUUCUGUCUUGAUUCUCCCUAAAAUUGACUGUUUUCUUGAUUAUGGUCAACAGGCCAGAGGAAUGAUGUCAAUGAUGAAACAAUGUGGAAUCCCAUUGUUGGGAAGUCACCAUCUUGGUAUUGAUGACACAAAGAACAUAGCUAGGGUAUUGCUACACAUGCUUGCUGAUGGUGCAGUUAUGCAAAUUACUGCAAGGAGGAGUAACUCUGAUUGUGGAAAGGUUAAAUUUUUAUUCAGGAACCGUAUCAGGUAUGCACGUAAAUUACUUUAUGAUGGUUUACUUCUACUUUCAUUGAUCUAUAACAUACAGAAAGAAAUGAAUCCUUAGAAAAUAAUAGUUGUUCAUGAUCUUUUGUUAAAUAAAUCAUGAACUCUCUCUAUUAAAUUCAGGUGAGACCUUCUGGUUGGACUUUUCAAAGACAAUAAAAGAAUGCAAAAAUACGAGUGUUUCAGUGAUAGGCGAUUCCACUAUUUCCAAAUUCAAGUGAUUCAAACAACAGAGCAACUGGAGAUGAAAAGAAACAAACAGGAAUUCUAUGGAGCUUACCUUAUCUAAUUCUGAAUUUGUAUUUCCUUCGAUAAAACUCUUGAUCUUGGCUGGAAAUUCCGAUGGAAGAUGCAAACUUUAUUGUGUUU